GUGCUCACUUCGGCAGCACAUAUACUAAAUUUGGAAUGACACAGAGUAGUAUGGCCCCUGUGCAAGGAUGACACGCAAAUUCAUGAAGUGUUCCAUAUUUUU
ensembl:snRNA U6 U6 spliceosomal RNA